GACGAACCGUGCGAACGUUGUUCGGAAUCACUGGGCUUAAAGGGCGCGUAGGCGGGCUGCCAAGUCCGUAGGUGAAAUCCCCCGGCUCAACCGGGGAACGGCCUCGGAUACUGGCGGCCUGGAGGGGGGUAGGGGCGUGCGGAACUGUGGGUGGAGCGGUGAAAUGCGUUAAGAUCCACAGGAACUCCGGUGGCGAAGGCGGCACGCUGGACCCUUUCUCGACGCUGAGGCGCGAAAGCCAGGGGAGCGAACGGGG
rnacentral:rRNA from 1 species